rnacentral:rRNA from 1 species
AUUGAACGCUAGCGGGAUGCUUUACACAUGCAAGUCGAACGAGUGGCGGACGGGUGAGUAAUAUAUCGGAACGUGCCAAGUAGAGGGGGAUAACUACUAGAAAAAGAGGCUAAUACCGACAACUAUUGGAGCGGCCGAUAUCGGAUUAGCUAGUGGGUGGGGUAAAGGCUCACCAAGGGAACGAUCCGUAGCUGGUUUGAGAGGACGACCAGCCACACUGGUACUGAGACACGGCCCAGACUCCUACGGGAGGCAGCAGUGGGGAAUUUUCGACAAUGGGUGAAACCCUGAUCCAGCCAUCCCGCGUGUAUGAGAAGGCCUUCGGUUUGUAAAGUACUUUUGGCAGAGAAGCGGUAUCUGCAGAAUAAGCACCGGCUAACUACGUGCCAGCAGCCGCGGUAAUAC